UGCAGUCGAGCGGUAAGGCCCUUCGGGGUACACGAGCGGCGAACGGGUGAGUAACACGUGAGCAACCUGCCCCUGACUCUGGGAUAAGCGGUGGAAACGCCGUCUAAUACCGGAUACGACCUUCCACCUCAUGGUGGAGGGUGGAAAGUUUUUUCGGUCAGGGAUGGGCUCGCGGCCUAUCAGCUUGUUGGUGGGGUAACGGCCUACCAAGGCGAUUACGGGUAGCCGGCCUGAGAGGGCGACCGGCCACACUGGGACUGAGACACGGCCCAGACUCCUGCGGGAGGCAGCAGUGGGGAAUAUUGCGCAAUGGGCGAAAGCCUGACGCAGCGACGCCGCGUGGGGGAUGACGGCCUUCGGGUUGUAAACCUCUUUUACCACCAACGCAGGCUCCGGGUUCUCUCGGGGUUGACGGUAGGUGGGGAAUAAGGACCGGCUAACUACGUGCCAGCAGCCGCGGUAAUACGUAGGGUCCGAGCGUUGUCCGGAAUUAUUGGGCGUAAAGAGCUCGUAGGCGGCGUGUCGCGUCUGCUGUGAAAGACCGGGGCUUAACUCCGGUUCUGCAGUGGAUACGGGCAUGCUAGAGGUAGGUAGGGGAGACUGGAAUUCCUGGU
rnacentral:rRNA from 1 species